rnacentral:rRNA from 1 species
CAGUAGCCGCGGGAAUACGGAGGGGGCUAGCGUUGUUCGGAAUUACUGGGCGUAAAGCGCACGUAGGCGGCUUUGUAAGUCAGAGGUGAAAGCCCGGGGCUCAACCCCGGAAUUGCCUUUGAGACUGCAUCGCUUGAAUCCAGGAGAGGUGAGUGGAAUUCCGAGUGUAGAGGUGAAAUUCGUAGAUAUUCGGAAGAACGCCAGUGGCGAAGGCGGCUCACUGGACUGGUAUUGACGCUGAGGUGCGAAAGCGUGGGGAGCAAACAGGAUUAGAUACCCCGGUAGUCCCUGUCUCUUAUCC